rnacentral:rRNA from 1 species
UACAGAGGUCUCAAGCGUUGUUCGGAUUCACUGGGCGUAAAGGGUGCGUAGGCGGUCGGGUAAGUCUGAUGUGAAAUCUCACAGCUUAACUGUGAAACUGCAUUGGAUACUAUUCGGCUUUGAGAGUUGGAGGGGGGGACUGGAAUUCUUGGUGUAGCAGUGAAAUGCGUAGAUAUCAAGAGGAACACCAGUGGCGAAGGCGAGUCCCUGGACAACUUCUGACGCUGGAGGCACGAAAGCUAGGGGAGCAAACAGG